CUCAGUUAGUGCUGGCGUCUUCAGUGAUACUCUUCGCGUGCUAGUUCACCAAGAUGGCGCACAGCAAGAAGAAAAAGACAGAGAUGAUGUAGCUUUGGUCUUGGAAUGAGUUUAUUGAUGAUCAAGGAUGGUUCAAGGCAAAGUAUUAUUUCAGUUGCUUUUCCAUUUUCUGUUGAAAUGACACCUUUUUUGAGUUGAUGAUGCUCAUUCAAUUCUCUUGAAUGAUGACAUCAUUUUGGAUUCAUAUGCUCAGAAAUCUUCGCGACUCAAUGACAAUUAUUAUAAAUAGCAUCUGUGUAUAAUCUUUAUUGAGAGGAAAUAAACUACAGCCCAAUUCCUUUUUCACAACCUAAGGUACCAGCAGUGGAAGAAGAACAUGGAAAAUGCUGAUCAAUCCCUCAAGAUAUUGCAUAGUGGAGUUCAGAAUUAGGGCAUACGGUGUAUUGUGAAAAAAUAUAGCUUCUAUUGUACCUUAUUGUCAUUAUACAAAGAAAUGUGUACUAUUUUGGAGGGAAGUGCUGAUGGAGUAUUGUAAUGCUGAUUUUAUGAACGACGGUGAGCACAGUAGGGCACUCCAUCAGGAUUUGGCCACCGUUUCCGAAGAUCUUCCACAACACAGACUGGCAUGACCUUUCAAACAUCUUCCACGUAACAUCCCAAUGCUUCCUUCCUGGCUAUGUAAAUAAGAUCGCGCUAUAAACCGUGGCGGUUUAGAAUUGUAUAAAAACAUCUAUUGUCGAUCUCUUGACUAAUGAGCUCGUGCUGCAGCUCGACACAUGGUACCGCUGCAUUUUCCGUGGCUUCCUUGUCUUCGGAAACUGUCAAAGAAAGCAAAAUUAGAAUGAUGCAUGAGAACAUAACCUGUUUUGAACUGGUAAAGCGCUGUAAGGACAUCGUUCGAGAACGUUGCAAAUGGCGGGUAAAAAUAUGUUUCGGCAAACUAAAAAGCCCAAGAUAAGAUUUUGUAGCUAGCAGAAAAGGGCAUACAAUUUAGAUUAAAAAGUUGAUUCGUUGA